rnacentral:rRNA from 1 species
UCCUACGGGCGGCAGCAGUGGGGAAUCUUGGGCAAUGGGCGAAAGCCUGACCCAGCGACGCCGCGUUGGGGAUGAAGCCCUUCGGGGUGUAAACCCAUGUUGUAGGGGACGAAGAAAGUGACGGUACCCUACGAGGAAGCCCCGGCUAACUACGUGCCAGCAGCCGCGGUAAGACGUAGGGGGCGAGCGUUGUCCGGAAUUACUGGGCGUAAAGGGCACGCAGGCGGUGCGCCAAGUCGAGGGUGGAAAGUGACGGCUCAACCGUGACAUUGCAAUCGAUACUGGCGCACUGGAGUGCGGGAGAGGGAAGUGGAAUUCCCGGUGUAGCGGUGAAAUGCGUAGAUAUCGGGAGGAACGCCAGUGGCGAAGGCGGCUUCCUGGCCCGCGACUGACGCUCAUGUGCGAAAGCCAGGGGAGCGAACCGGAUUAGAUACCCUGGUAGUCU